UUCCGGUUGAUCCUGCCGGAGGUCACUGCUAUUGGGAUUCGACUAAGCCAUGCGAGUCGAGAGGGUUCGGCCCUCGGCAGACUGCUCAGUAACACGUGGAUAAUCUGCCCUUAGGUGGAGGAUAACCUCGGGAAACUGAGAAUAAUACUCCAUAGAUCUAGGAUGCUGGAAUGCACUUAGAUUGAAAGUUCCGGCGCCUAAGGAUGAGUCUGCGGACUAUCAGGUAGUAGUCAGGGUAAAGGCCUGACUAGCCUACGACGGAUACGGGUUGUGAGAGCAAUAACCCGGAGACGAUAUCUGAGACACGAUAUCGGGCCCUACGGGGCGCAGCAGGCGCGAAACCUUCACAAUGUGCGAAAGCGCGAUGAGGGGAUCCCAAGUGCUUGCUCGUAAGAGUAAGCUGUUUUUAUGUCUAAAACGCAUAGAGAGUAAGGGCUGGGUAAGACGGGUGCCAGCCGCCGCGGUAAUACCUGCAGCUCAAGUGGUGACCGCUAUUAUUGGGCCUAAAACAUUCGUAGCCGGUUUGGUAAAUGCCUGGGUAAAUCGUGUAGCUUAACUAUACGAAUUCCGGGUAGACUGCCAAACUUGAGACCGGGAGAAGCUAGAGGUACUCCUUGGGUAGAGGUGAAAUUCUGUAAUCCUAGGGGGACCACCAGUGGCGAAGGCGUCUAGCUAGAACGGGUUUGACGGUGAGGAAUGAAGCCCUGGGGCGCAAACCGGAUUAGAUACCCGGGUAGUCCAGGGUGUAAACGCUGCUUGCUUGAUGUUAGUUGGGCUCCGAGCCCAAUUAGUGUCGGAGAGAAGUUGUUAAGCAAGCUGCCUGGGAAGUACGAUCGCAAGAUUGAAACUUAAAGGAAUUGGCGGGGGAGCACAGCAACGGGUGGAGCGUGCGGUUUAAUUGGAUUCAACGCCGGG
rnacentral:rRNA from 1 species